GACGAACGCUGGCGGCGUGCUUAACACAUGCAAGUCGAACGGAAAGGCCCUGCUUUUGUGGGGUGCUCGAGUGGCGAACGGGUGAGUAACACGUGAGUAACCUGCCCUUGACUUUGGGAUAACUUCAGGAAACUGGGGCUAAUACCGGAUAGGAGCUCCUGCUGCAUGGUGGGGGUUGGAAAGUUUCGGCGGUUGGGGAUGGACUCGCGGCUUAUCAGCUUGUUGGUGGGGUAGUGGCUUACCAAGGCUUUGACGGGUAGCCGGCCUGAGAGGGUGACCGGCCACAUUGGGACUGAGAUACGGCCCAGACUCCUACGGGAGGCAGCAGUGGGGAAUAUUGCACAAUGGGCGGAAGCCUGAUGCAGCAACGCCGCGUGCGGGAUGACGGCCUUCGGGUUGUAAACCGCUUUCGCCUGUGACGAAGCGUGAGUGACGGUAAUGGGUAAAGAAGCACCGGCUAACUACGUGCCAGCAGCCGCGGUGAUACGUAGGGUGCGAGCGUUGUCCGGAUUUAUUGGGCGUAAAGGGCUCGUAGGUGGUUGAUCGCGUCGGAAGUGUAAUCUUGGGGCUUAACCCUGAGCGUGCUUUCGAUACGGGUUGACUUGAGGAAGGUAGGGGAGAAUGGAAUUCCUGGUGGAGCGGUGGAAUGCGCAGAUAUCAGGAGGAACACCAGUGGCGAAGGCGGUUCUCUGGGCCUUUCCUGACGCUGAGGAGCGAAAGCGUGGGGAGCGAACAGGCUUAGAUACCCUGGUAGUCCACGCUGUAAACGGUGGGUACUAGGUGUGGGGUCCAUUCCACGGGUUCCGUGCCGUAGCUAACGCUUUAAGUACCCCGCCUGGGGAGUACGGCCGCAAGGCUAAAACUCAAAGGAAUUGACGGGGCCCCGCACAAGCGGCGGAGCAUGCGGAUUAAUUCGAUGCAACGCGUAGAACCUUACCUGGGUUUGACAUGGAUCGGGAGUGCUCAGAGAUGGGUGUGCCUCUUUUGGGGUCGGUUCACAGGUGGUGCAUGCCUGUCGUCAGCUCGUGUCGUGAGAUGUUGGGUUAAGUCCCGCAACGAGCGCAACCCUUGUUCACUGUUGCCAGCACGUUAUGGUGGGGACUCAGUGGAGACCGCCGGGGUCAACUCGGAGGAAGGUGGGGAUGACGUCAAGUCAUCAUGCCCCUUAUGUCCAGGGCUUCACGCAUGCUACAAUGGCUGGUACAGAGAGUGGCGAGCCUGUGAGGGUGAGCGAAUCUCGGAAAGUCGGUCUCAGUUCGGAUUGGGGUCUGCAACUCGACCUCAUGAAGUCGGAGUCGCUAGUAAUCGCAGAUCAGCAACGCUGCGGUGAAUACGUUCCCGGGGCU
rnacentral:rRNA from 1 species